rnacentral:rRNA from 1 species
AUUGAACGCUGGCGGCAGGCCUAACACAUGCAAGUCGAACGAGUGGCGGACGGGUGAGUAAUGUCUGGGAAACUGCCUGAUGGCGGGGGAUACCUACUGGAAACGGUAGCUAAUACCGCAUACUAUCAGAUGUGCACAGAUGGGAUUAGCUUGUUGGUGGGGUAACGGCUCACCAAGGCGACGAUCCCUAGCUGGUCUGAGAGGAUGACCAGCAACACUGGAACUGAGACACGGUCCAGAGUCCGAGGGGAGGCAGCAGUGGGGAAUAUGGCACAAUGGGCGCAAGCCUGAUGCAGCCAUGACGCGUGUAUGAAGAAGGCCUUCGGGUUGUAAAGUACUGUCAGCGGGGAAGCGUUACCCGCAGAAGAAGCACCGGCUAACUCCGUGCCAGCAGCCGCGGUAAUUC